GCUGCUCCUCAUGACUAUCUACUGAGCCGCUGUUACACCUAUCAGCCCCACUUAUUCAUUCAAAUUAACAACACGAAUUCACGCUUUUUUCUGUGCCUGAGUUGAUGGCGGUUGACAUGGAGAUAAGUCCCGCCCUCCAAAUGAAGCAAAUAACCACAAACGGUGCCGCGAUUAACUCGCUGUGAGAAUGUUUACUGUCAAAUACGUUUGAAUGACAUCUGGCAGCCAUUUUGAAAUGUUUAAAAUAAAACCACAACUUAUUUCUAUUUAGUUUAUUGACCGUUCUGUUCUUUUUCCCAGACGACGAUGUUGAAUACGACGACGACUUCACCAGCCAUCGGUCGGACCUCUCGAAGAGCGAGCUGAGCAUCGGGGAGGAGAUCGAGGAAGUCUCCAUCGAGGGACCCGACGUCAGCAACCAGGGGGGGGACAGCACGCAGGACCUGAGCGUCUCUCAGCUCAGCCAAAGUCACGGGGCCGACUACAUGGAGGAGGUGGCCUGACCCUCCCAGCAUGCACCUCUUCCUCCUCCCCUCUAUAUUUAAGUCCGUGCUCCAAUAGUAGCAAGCCAAUAAAGUCAUUUGUAUCCACG